rnacentral:tRNA from 1 species
CCUCUCAUGGCUUAGUGGUUAACGCGCCCCAACUAGAGAUCGGGGAGUCGUGAGUUCGAUUCUCACUGAGAAGA